rnacentral:rRNA from 1 species
UACGGGGGGAGCAAGCGUUGUUCGGAUUUACUGGGCGUAAAGGGCGCGUAGGCGGCCACCGCAAGUCGAUUGUGAAAUCUCCGGGCUUAACCCGGAAAGGUCAACCGAUACUGCGGGGCUAGAGUGCAGAAGGGGCAACUGGAAUUCUCGGUGUAGCGGUGAAAUGCGUAGAUAUCAAGAGGAACACCUGAGGUGAAGACGGGUUGCUGGGCCGACACUGACGCUGAGUGCGCGAAAGCCAGGGGAGGCAAACGGG